AUUGAACGCUGGCGGCAGGCCUAACACAUGCAAGUCGAGCGGAGCGGCGGACGGGUGAGUAAUGACUAGGAAUCUGCCUGGUCGUGGGGGAUAACGUCCGGAACCGGGCGCUAAUACCGCAUACUAUCAACUUAGCCUAGUUCGGAUUAGCUAGUUGGUGGGGUAAAGGCCUACCAAGGCGCCGAUCCGUAACUGGUCUGAGAGGAUGAUCAGUCACACUGGAACUGAGAAACGGUCCAGACUCCUACGGGAGGCAGCAGUGGGGAAUAUUGGACAAUGGGCGAAAGCCUGAUCCAGCCAUGCCGCGUGUGUGAAGAAGGUCUUCGGAUUGUAAAGCACUUUAAGUUGGGAGGCGUUACCAACAGAAUAAGCACCGGCUAACUUCGUGCCAGCAGCCGCGGUAAUAC
rnacentral:rRNA from 1 species